CGCAGAUCAGAAUGCUGCGUUGAAUACGUUACCGAGUCUUGUACACACAGCCCGUCACACCACGGGAGAUGUAGACGCCCGAAGCAGAUUAUCUAACCUUUUGGUAGAAGUCGACUGAGGUGGAUUCAAUAACUGGGGUGUAGUCGUUACAAGGUAGCCGUAUCGGAAGGAGAGGCUGGAACACCUCCUUUCUAAGGAGA
rnacentral:rRNA from 1 species